UUUGUGUAAUAAACAGUAGUUCAUGAAGUGUAAACAUGUUGGAAAUGUGGAUUAUACAAUGUUAAAAACAGUCAUGUUACAUACAGUUAGAAGUCAGAGUUAAAAGAGGUUUAGUUGUAAAAUGCAUUCAUAUUGGGUUGUUGGCACAAAUGACAUAAGACCACGUUUAUUGUGGGGUAGUGAAGCAUCCCUUUAUUCUCUCAGCUUUGUAUGUGUAUUCUUAACCAAUCCUGUCCGCAGUUUAUUUCGGUAGGAGGGACUUAGCGUCACCUACGUUGACAACACGUUGGUAAUAGCAGAGGCUGUUUUAUAGGUGUCCGAGAAGGACUGCUGUAAGCUGUAAACGCAUUCUGAAAGAAUUCCUAACUUCCCAGACUGACAAAGAGUCGUCCUGUGGUCUAUGUGUGUGAACUCUGUGAAGCUGCCAGAGGACCGGACAUUGGCCAUACGAGGGAGAGAGUAAGGACCGGGAGAGCCCUGGACCGUGGGAAAGGCUAUAGCUGCUGUACUUGACUGUGGUUCGUUGCCACGUGUGGCUGUGCACUUCACCCCCUUGCCGCUGAAACUACAACCUGCCAUUUGCCCUUUCCCCCCUUCUCCAUCUAUGACUGUACCGAUUUGUGAGUACUCUUAACGCUUUGCACGUGCCUUUUGUUUAUGCUGAUUCAAGACAGCGAACCGGCCAUUUGUUUCUGGCCUCCACGCUCACAAGCAUCGUCCGGGCCUACAACGUUUAUUAUUUUAGCCCAGAAUGAAUGAGUGUGUGAGUGUGGGCUGUGGGAUUCUGAAUUCACUGGUCAUUUGAUCUAUCAUUUUCAUGCAAGUUAUCAGGGAUUAUUUGUGAGCUGUACUUACCAGUUAGAGUUUGGAGUGAUCUGUGUAACUUAAAGGUCAACAGUGAACACAGUUAAUAUUUUCCAGAUCCAGUUCAAAAUUGUAAAAUAAAUUAGUAUUCUUGUCUUACUAAA